AUACGUAGGGGGCGAGCGUUGUCCGGAAUGACUGGGCGUAAAGGGCGCGUAGGCGGCGCGGUAAGACGGGCGUGAAAACCCCGGGCUCAACUCGGGGCAUGCAAACGAGACUGCCGUGCUGGAGUGCAGGAGAGGGAAGCGGAAUUCCUAGUGUAGCGGUAAAAUGCGUAGAUAUUAGGAGGAACACCAGUGGCGAAGGCGACUUACUGGACUGUAACUGACGCUGAGGCGCGAAAGUGUGGGGAGCAAACAGGAUUAGAUACCCUGGUAGUCCACACUGUAAACGAUGAAUGCUAGGUGUAGGGGGUAUCGACCCCUUCUGUGCCGCAGUUAACACAAUAAGCAUUCCGCCUGGGGAGUACGGCCGCAAGGUUGAAACUCAAAUGAAUUGGCGGGG
rnacentral:rRNA from 1 species